UGGGGAAUAUUGCGCAAUGGGCGAAAGCCUGACGCAGCGACGCCGCGUGAGGGAUGAAGGUUUUCGGAUCGUAAACCUCUUUCAGAAGGGAAGAAACCGCACUGUGCUAAUCAGCAGUGCCUUGACGGUACCUUCAAAGGAAGCACCGGCUAACUCCGUGCCAGCAGCCGCGGUAAUACAGAGGGUGCAAGCGUUAAUCGGAAUUACUGGGCGUAAAGCGCACGUAGGCUGCUUUGUAAGUCAGGGGUGAAAUCCCACGGCUCAACCGUGGAACUGCCUUUGAUACUGCUUAGCUUGAAUCCGGGAGAGGGUGGCGGAAUUCCAGGUGUAGGAGUGAAAUCCGUAGAUAUCUGGAGGAACAUCAGUGGCGAAGGCGGCCACCUGGACCGGUAUUGACGCUGAGGUGCGAAAGCGUGGGGAGCAAACAGG
rnacentral:rRNA from 1 species